rnacentral:rRNA from 1 species
AUUGAACGCUGGCGGCAUGCUUUACACAUGCAAGUCGAACGGUAACAGGCCUUCGGGCGCUGACGAGUGGCGAACGGGUGAGUAAUGCAUCGGAACGUGCCCAGUCGUGGGGGAUAACUAUCCGAAAGGAUAGCUAAUACCGCAUACGAUCUGCGGAUGAAAGCGGGGGACCUUCGGGCCUCGCGCGAUUGGAGCGGCCGAUGUCAGAUUAGGUAGUUGGUGGGGUAAAGGCUCACCAAGCCAACGAUCUGUAGCUGGUCUGAGAGGACGACCAGCCACACUGGGACUGAGACACGGCCCAGACUCCUACGGGAGGCAGAAGUGGGGAAUUUUGGACAAUGGGCGCAAGCCUGAUCCAGCAAUGCCGCGUGCAGGAAGAAGGCCUUCGGGUUGUAAACUGCUUUUGUACGGAACGAAACGGCUCUGGUUAAUACCCGGGGCUAAUGACGGUACCGUAAGAAUAAGCACCGGCUAACUACGUGCCAGCAGCCGCCGUAACAC